GGGGGGGUGGGGUGCGGGGCGAGGCCACCAACCGCCCGAGACGGCGGCUGUAAAGGUCCUGAUUUGACAAUUUAACAGCCCAUCAUCAUUCCUCAUUUUUGAAGACCCAGCCUAAAAAGAUGCAAAUGAGACUCAUUUUCAAAGCCUCAUUUUAAGGUUACUGAUCUUAAUCAGCUCUUAUAGCUCUGACAAAAGCUACUAGAGAAUGAUACAAAGGGAGAGUUUAAGUGUCUUUUUCUACCACGUACAGGUAAUUCUUAUAGGAAAUGUGAUGUAGGAUUUAAACAGAGCUAAAGGUACCCUAUAUACCCUAAGAAUCCUAUGCACAAUACAGUGGGUUAAGGAUGGAGUCUCAGGCUUAACUCAGUCUUCUCAGCUCAGAAGUCUAGAUGUGGAAACAAGGAGAAUUCAGUGAAGAAUCUAAUGUUAAAAUAAAGAUGACCUACUGAUAUAAAAUUGGGUCGAAGACUCAAGUAGCUUUUCAGGAGUUCCGGUGCAGUCACUAACUUUACUGGGUUUUUUUGUUUAUACAUCAGAACAGGAUCAGUAAACUCCGUUCUUCCUGAAAAUACCAGCUGGGGUUUCCAAACUGUCUCAGCUCUCAUUGGAGUAAUUGGAGGAUGGUCCCCAGCAUCAUGACCUUUCCUUGGACGAUUAACACCUUCUGACAGCAAUGCCUUUACCUAGACAAAAUGAAAAGGAGAAAGCAGAAACAAGUUAAUAACGCAUCAAGUCUCUCUACAGACUAAUAUGCUUUUCAGAUCAAAUGCAUAAGAACACAAACCACAGAAAAUAAAUACAGUUACAAAUUUGUAUAUUGACUACUUAGGUCUAUAGACCAUUAAGAGAUGCUUGUGCUAUUUGAUAGCAUGGAUUUCUUGAUACUGUUUUUCCAAGAACACUGGCCAAGAAAGAACUUGUAAAGCAUUUCAAAUUUUGCUUAAUAUACUUACUGUUUCUGCCCAGUAAGGGUUAUUAGUCUGCUGUCUCAAAGAUUCUUUCAAGUCAAAGUUUUCUGGAUAGUGGGUUGUUUCAG